rnacentral:tRNA from 1 species
UGGCUCAGUGGUUAAGAGCACUGACUGGCCUUCCAGAGGACCUGGGUUCAAAUCCCAG